rnacentral:rRNA from 1 species
UACGUAGGGUGCGAGCGUUGUCCGGAAUUAUUGGGCGUAAAGGGCUCGUAGGCGGUUUGUCGCGUCGGGAGUGAAAACUCAGGGCUUAACCCUGAGCCUGCUUCCGAUACGGGCAGACUAGAGGUAUGCAGGGGAGAACGGAAUUCCUGGUGUAGCGGUGAAAUGCGCAGAUAUCAGGAGGAACACCGGUGGCGAAGGCGGUUCUCUGGGCAUGACCUGACGCUGAGGAGCGAAAGUGUGGGGAGCGAACAGG